rnacentral:lncRNA from 1 species
AUUACAGAGCUAUAAGAAGGGAUGCGCAUUGCACUUUGCUUUUCGACGCUAACCAUAGAAAUGAAAUUCUUGUGUCGCUGAAGCUUUGUUGGAAAAGUGAAUUUCUUUAUUGCGUAUAGCUGGCACGCUGUGCAGCUAAUACCCUUCCUUAUACAAAGGCCCCUACUGCCAGUGACCUGAAGCUUCUCCACCACCACCGAUAUCCCCUUACCAUUCCUUCCUCCCUACUUAG